GUAGAGAGCAGAGCGUCGACCACCGAGUUGUAGGUAGGUAAGGUGGUUAGAUACGAUUCUCACGGCAUUGGCAACGCUGGCUUGCUUGGAAGCGUGAAAUAGAUAAGUGGCAGUAGUACUAGUUAGGUGUUGAUGAUGGCUCUCCCAUUACGUUAAUUUUAUUGAAAUUGAGUUAGGCAUUUUUCGUUUAGCGGUUUAUCCUCGAAUUUGCGUGUAUCGAUGUUGCACGUGGAAUGCAGGUCGUUGUCGAUCAUUUCACGCCACAAAUGUGACUCACUGGAUACUUUGUAUAUUAAUGCCAUUCGAAAGGAUGACUAGAUCAAAGGGUACGGGAAUUUGGGAUUUGUGUUUUGUGGCAAUAAUGAGAGUGAAUGAGUUUUACUCGGAAUUUUAACCAAAGUUUUGGUGAAGUUAGUGAGCAAAACUUGUGAAAACGGAGUACAGUGUAGUGGAAAAAAUUUAAGAUGGGCAGCCUAGGAAACUGUCGACGAAUCUGGACGAAGCCAAACAAUCCUAAUAUCACCGCAUUAUCCUUGUUUCUACUCUGUGGAACUCUUGUAAAUUCAACCAAACUUAGGCAUUCCAAGCAUUUUGACCUGAGAUCUUCAUUUUGGAAUGAAGACGUUUUUAUGGUCCAGCAGGGUCAGAACCACAAUCACAAACCUGUAUUUUCGAAUUGUUCAAAUUAUUCGCCUGUAGUUAAAGAAGAAGAGCCACCUGGUACUGUAUUUAUGCAAGUGGGGGCUGAAGACAGAGAUCCACCUGAAGAAGGAGGUACUAUCACCUACAGUUUCGUAACAAUUUCUGGCGAGAAACUUAAAUUUGAAAUCAACAACGAAACGGGACUUAUCAGGACAACGCAUAUUCUUGACAGAGACGAACCAGAACGCGAAAAAGAAGCAUAUCUAACGGUGCUGGCUACAGAUAAUGGAAGACCUCAACUUGACGAUGUUUGCACGUUCAAAGUCACAAUAGAGGAUGUUAACGAUAAUCCACCGGUAUUUGAUAAAGUGGCAUACACGGAGUCCGUACCACAGGAUUUACCACUUGGCAGCGAAGUAAUGAGAGUAUCUGCUACAGACAUCGACGACGGAAAUAAUUCUGUGGUUCGAUAUAGUUUAAUGCCUAAAAAAUCUGACGACACUGCUCAGUAUUUCAAAAUUGACAUGAAUACAGGCGUAAUCUUCUUGAAUAAGACAAUAGAUAAAAAUCCGGAGUACAGAUUUAGUAUGAUGGCCACUGCUGCGGAUCUAGGCAAGGAUCCGAAAUCAAGCGCUAUCGAUCUUGAUAUACAAGUUGUAGAGUCACACAAAAAGGCGCCAUCCUUUGAUCCAGCAUCUCUAGAACCCAAUGAUUACAGGCUUCAAGAAAAUGUCUCUGACUUUGAUGAUAGUAUUGCAAAAUUGAAAGCAUAUUCUAAUAUUGAUUAUAGUCCUGAUCUACUAUUUGAACUUGUCACAGGAAGAACGGAGCAAACAAAUAAGGGAAAUACGUUUAGAUUGGAGUCAACAAACGGCACUGCUCAUAUUAAACUAGCCCAGCAUCUAGAUUACGAGAGUAAUGCCAAUUACACGUUAAUUGUACGAGUUCAGAAUAAGUAUCAAUUAGCUGCCGAAACCGUUGUUAAUAUCCGAGUACUAGAUGUAAAUGAUAAUAUACCAGUUUUUCGUGAAUUGGAAAAAGGUAGUGUUCUGGAAAACGAGCCACCGGGUGUUCCAGUAAUGCAAGUUAGAGCCAUAGACGCGGAUGGAACUUCUGCUCACAACCAGGUUACUUAUGAGCUUGACAACUUCCGAGAUUUAUUCGCCAUCGAUAAGUAUACGGGAAAUAUCACAACGCUGGUGACUUUUGACAGAGAGGAGGAAUACACAUAUAAUGUAAAAGUAAUUGCUGUUGAUAAUUCACCCAGUGCUUUGUUUAAAACUGGAGAACACAACAAAGGGCAACAAGUUUUUCGUAUAGAAAUAGCAGACAAAAACGAUAAUGCACCUCACUUUACACAAGCCGUUUAUACUGCGAGUUCGAUUUUGGAAAAUGCCAACAUUAAUGCCCUUGUAACAGAAGUAAAAGCUUUAGACGCAGAUACAGCCAGUCCCGUUACGUACAUUAUCAUAUCUGGUAAUACAAAUAACAGUUUUUACAUCGAAAGUACGACGGGUAAAAUUCGUGUAAAUCAGCCCUUAGAUUAUGAAAAACUAACAGAAUACAGCUUGACUGUCAAAGCCUUUGAUGGAUUGUACAAUGAUACAGCACAAGUCAUGAUUUUUAUUGAAAACGUGAAUGAUAAUCCACCUGUCUUCGGAAACUUUGAUACAAAUCCAACAAUACAAGAAGAGUGUCUGAUAAAAGAUUGUAUUACGACUGUUGUUGCUUAUGAUCCAGAUAUUAAGGACAUAAACGCCGAUCAACAUAUCAGUUACUUUAUUGUGAAGGAUGAGCAGCAACCAUUGAUUGAUAUCGAUAAAUCGGGUUGCAUGAAAUUAAAAAAGCCCCUAGAUCGAGAUCCACCCUAUGGUUAUCCAAUGUGGACAGUAAUUGUUAUGGCUAGAGAUGAAGAUGGAUCUCCUACUGCUCUGCGAGAACUUCUAAUGGUAAACAUCACUCUCAUAGACAUAAAUGAUAAUGCACCUUUUCUUGAUAUGCCCUAUCCGGUGGUAUGGGAUGAAAAUAAGCAACCUGGAAAGAUUAUCGAACUCAAGGCUCGAGAUUGGGACUCUGACGAAAAUGGACAGCCGUUUACAUUUAAAAUUGAUGAUUCCGCAGAUGGCGAAAUCCAAUCGAAAUUUCGUGUCAAAAAUAUGAACCUUUAUGCACAAGUGACUUUUGAUCGCGAGGAGAGAAAAAGUUAUGUUAUUCCAAUUUCGAUUAAAGACAAUGGUACCCCUUCUAUGACCGGAACUUCUAUGUUAACUGUGAUUAUUGGUGACGUAAAUGAUAAUCCAAUGAGUAAUGGGGAAAGUUCUAUAUUUGUUUACAAUUACAAGGGUGAAGCUCCCGAUUCCGAAAUUGGUAGAGUAUACGUAAAGGAUCCCGACGAUUGGGAUUUGCCAGACAAAAGAUUCACUUGGAUAUCAGAACAUGAUGGAUUUCAAUUAAAUCCUGAAACUGGUAUGAUUACUAUGCUUUCAGGUACUACUAACAACACAUUUAUUCUCAAAUUUCGAGUAGAAGAGCAAAGCAAUUUUUUCCGUCUUGGUCGAUCGACGAUCGUAGCAGAGGCAAUCGUCAAUGUUACGGUCAAAGAAAUACCUGAAGAAGCCGUAUUUAAAUCUGGCUCGGUGCGUUUCUAUGGCAUGAAUUCCGAAGAAUUCGUAUCACCUUUAGAUUCUGAGAUCAGUAAAAAGGACAUUUUCCAAGAAAUUUUAGCAAAUAUGUUGAAUAUAUCUGCAGAAAAUGUUGAUGUAUUUACCGUACUUCAUUCGCCACAUCAUAAUAAUAAAUCUUUGUUAGACGUUAGAUUUUCUGCACACGGAAGUCCUUAUUACGCGCCAGAAAAACUCAACACCCUAGUAUCACAGAAUGCAAGGUUCAUCGAAACAAAAUUAAAUGCUGAUAUUUUAUUGAUCAACGUUGAUGAAUGCCUCUUUGAGAAGCUUCAUUGUAACAAUUCGUGUCGAAGUUUCUUGCAUGUCAGUACAGUUCCUUAUUGUGUUUAUACAAAUUCAAGUUCUUUUGCUGGUGUUAGAGCGAUUGUUGAUCCUCAGUGCAUUUGUCACGUAGCAGAACCUAUUGUCUGUUUGAAUGGGGGUACAUCUGUUGGUGAACGAUGCGAAUGUCCCCCUGGAUUGGAAGGACCUAGAUGCGAAUUAUUAGCCAUUGGCUUUCACGGUGAUGGAUAUGCUAUUAUGCCACCACCUGGACAGGCAUGUGAUGAUUCACAUUUAGGAUUAGAAAUAGUACCCCAGACCGAAAAUGGAUUAGUUUUCUAUUUUGGCCCAAUGAGUUACAGUCCAAAAUUAGGAAUUCAAGAUUUUAUGGCUUUGGAACUUCAAAAAGGUUAUGCGGUUCUGUACGUUGAUUAUGGCAAAGGCACGGUCAAAUUGGAUCAAAAGGAGAUUAAAUUAACAGAUGGCAAAAAUCACAGAAUUGAUGUGUACUGGACAAAGAAUGCAAUAGAAAUGAAGAUAGAUAAUUGUGGAAUAUCUGCGUGUAUGAGUUUAACUGCUCCUCAGGGUUCAAACGAAUUUUUGAAUGUAAACAGUCCUAUGCAAGUUGGAGGUACUCUCUCUAACCUGACGUUUUUAGCAGAGAGAUUAGGCUGGACUCAUAGGCCAACAGAAAAAGGUUUUGCAGGAUGUGUACGAAAUAUGACAAUUAAUGGAAAUACUUACAAUUUAGGAAGGCCCUCUUUAUCAAUAAAUGCAGAUCCUGGUUGCGAUUAUGGAGUGGCAAAAGCUGUUUCCUUUGGCAUUGAUACGAAUUUUUUAGUAGCUAUUCUUGUCUGCAUAUCUAUACUGCUUAUUCUACUAUUGGCAGUUGUUGUCCAUAAAAGAAAAACUGACGAUUUGUACAAAGAUAUGGACGAUAUUAGGGAAAAUAUUAUUAACUAUGAUGACGAAGGAGGUGGUGAAGUUGACACGGGGUAUGACCUCAAUGUUCUUAGGGCUAUGUAUGAUCCUCCCGUUGACUCAAAAAUCACUCCUAUUGGACUGCAAGGGAGAGGAGCUAGUGACAUUCCUGAUAUUUGCGGGUUUCUUGAUGGCAGAAAAGAAAGCUGUGACAAGGAUUCUGACACAAAUCCAUUCGACGAUGUAAGGCAUUAUGCAUACGAAGGCGACGGAAAUUCAGACGGUUCACUGUCAUCAUUGGCUUCGUGUACUGACGAUGGGGAUUUGAAAUUUAAUUAUCUUUCAAACUUUGGUCCAAGGUUUAGAAAAUUAGCUGAUAUGUACGGAGAAGAACCCAGCGAUGAUGAAAGCGAGGGUGUCUGCGAUCGUGAAAGUGAAAGUUGGUGUUGAAACAGAGUAUUUAGAUAAAGAUGAUAUUAUUUUCUUAAAUUUAUUUGCUUCCACAUCAUGAGCUUUCAUUCAAUAUCUCGUUAAUAUCGGCUCAUACAUAGUACAAAUGAACACUUUGUCUUCAGAUACUUAAGGGAAAUAGCUGCAGAUUUGUAGGUUGGAACAGAGUGUGUUGGAGUAAAAAAAACAAAGCUACAAAUACUUAAAAGUAUGUAUAAUAUUUAAUUACUAAUCAAAACAUAAAAUUGUCCUAAAUUAUUCUAAGUGACAGGUAGUAAAUAUAAACAUUGUUUUUAGAUACAAUUUCACAUCUUUGUGCAUUUAUUUAGUAUUUUUCCAAUGAAAUACAUUUAUUCAAGUACGCGUAGAAAAUACAAGUUCAACUUCGCCUACAAUGUAUGAAAUUAAGAUGGUAGUCAGUUCUAGAAAAACGAUUUCAAAAUAUAAUUCGACGAAUUGUUUCUCAAGU